AUCUCUUCGUGGAAAUCCGAUAAAAUUGGAACGAUACAGAGAAGAUUAGCAUGACUCAUGCGCAAGGAUGACACGCACAAAUCGAGAAAUGGUCCAAAAAAGC
rfam:Arabis alpina cultivar Pajares chromosome 3, whole genome shotgun sequence.